rnacentral:lncRNA from 1 species
UUACUUGAACAAAUAUUACACUAUCUUGAGGGAAAUUGAUAUUCAAGCAGAAUCAAAAACUAGUACUACUAAUCUAGAAUCAACUACUGAACAGGUUUGUAAAUAGUCAUCAGUAAAAUCAACAAUAGACACAGUUUUAGUAGAUGAUGAGUCUGAUAAUGAAUAAAGCUAUAGAUCCACCUGA